rnacentral:rRNA from 1 species
GAUGAACGCUGGCGGCGUGCCUAAUACAUGCAAGUCGAGCGAACAGACGAGGAGCUUGCUCCUCUGACGUUAGCGGCGGACGGGUGAGUAACACGUGGAUAACCUACCUAUAAGACUGGGAUAACUUCGAGAAACCGGAGCUAAUACCGGAUAAUAUAUUGAACCGCAUGGUUCUAUAGUGAAAGACGGUUUUGCUGUCACUUAUAGCUGGAUCCGCGCCGCAUUAGCUAGUUGGUAAGGUAACGGCUUACCAAGGCAACGAUGCGUAGCCGACCUGAGAGGGUGAUCGGCCACACUGGAACUGAGACACGGUCCAGACUCCUACGGGAGGCAGCAGUAGGGAAUCUUCCGCAAUGGGCGAAAGCCUGACGGAGCAACGCCGCGUGAGUGAUGAAGGUCUUCGGAUCGUAAAACUCUGUUAUUAGGGAAGAACAAAUGUGUAAGUAACUAUGCACGUCUUGACGGUACCUAAUCAGAAAGCCACGGCUAACUACGUG